AAUAUUGCACAAUGGGGGAAACCCAGAUGCAGCGACGCCGCGUGAGCGAAGAAGGNCUNNGGGUCNUNAAGCACUGUCUUAAGNNNNNAAACGAACGGUUCCUUAGGAGGAAGACCCGGCUAACUACGUGCCAGCAGCCGCGUUACUACGUAGGGGGCGAGCGUUAUCCGGAAUUAUUGGGCGGAAAGGGUGCGUAGGCGGCGUUUUAAGUCAGAUGUGAAAGGCUACGGCUUAACCGUAGUUAGCAUUUGAAACUAAAAGGCUUGAGUGCAGGGGAGGAGAGUGGAAUUCCUAGUGUAGCGGUGAAAUGCGUAGAUAUUAGGAGGAACACCAGUGGCGAAGGCGACUCUCUGGACUGCAACUGACGCUGAGGCACGAAAGCGUGGGGAGCGAACA
rnacentral:rRNA from 1 species